rnacentral:lncRNA from 1 species
AUGACAUCUGGUCAUGAAAUCCAAGCUGCUGUUUGAUGAAGUUGGAGAUUAGGGGCUGAGGCUGUUGCUCUUCGGGCAAGCUGAUCUGGUCCCAUUUAAGUCUGUCAAGAUGUGUCACAUGGACCACAGGAGCUAGAAGAGCAGGCAGGUUGUCUCAUUCCAGGGGCAAAGUUGGAUCUCAGAGGGCUCUCCCAAGUCCACACCCUCAGCUUAUGUGCUUCCCGUCAUCUUGUUGGGUUAAGAAAUGCUCUAGCUCCCGACCGAAUGUAAUCGUUAAUCCUUGUUGUAAUAUCUUCUUUAUCAGUGAUCACCGUGCAGUUCCCAGAGCCCACUAUCCUUCAUUGCUGGGACCAGCAGAAGAAUAUAAAAAUGAGUUAAAAUCAAGAUUCUGCUCCCUUUCAUUGAAUUGUAAUAAAGUAAUAUUACAAAGACUGACUAUAUCCCCAAAGUUACCAGUAUCUGUCAAAAGAAAUAACACGGAUUCUUUUU